rnacentral:hammerhead_ribozyme from 1 species
GUACUGCUGAAGAGUCCCAAAAUAGGACGAAACGGCUGGCUUUCCAGUAC